CCCCUCGGUCCCCGGGAACUCGGCAGCACCACCACCCCGCCGUCCCAGGUGCCUCCGGCCACCCAAGCGCUUCGGCCACCCCGGCAUCUCCGGCGCCCCAGGCCACCCCAGCGCCCCCCACCUUGGCCACCCCAUUGCAGCCGCCCUUCUCCCUCUGUGCCCCAGGUUGAGGUCGCUCCGUGGCGAGAUGGUGUCAGGGAAACUGGUCACUUUGUAUUCCUGUACUAAGUUUCCUGCGGUGCGUUGAAGUGGAGACUUUGGAAUUCUCGCUCAUCUGUGCAAUGUGACCAACAGAGGACGCCAGUGGUCCAGGAUUGAAUUUGGAAUUACACUUGCAAGGCUCUUACAAAGGGCGUGUGGAUCAGCAGUGGGAAGUGGCGAGACCACCGCGUGAGCGGACUUUCCUGGACGCUGUAGAAAACGGAUACUUGUCCUAGGAGGAGGAUCGGUGUCUAGGAGGACCCUUUUGCAGUUUGCAGUAGAAACAGCAAAUGAGGACCUCCUUGCAUUCCCUCCUCCACCCCGGGCAGAGCUCUACGCAGCCGUGGGUGAAGUUAACAUGGUCCCUACUCUGUGUGUGUAUGUGUGUAUAUAUAUAUAUAUGUAUAUAUCACCAUACAUCGCCUCCUUUUAGUAAAUUGGGAAGGCCAAUUUACUCAUAGCAAAUAAAUAAUAAAAUAAUAGUACUAACUGAGGCUUUACAAAGGAGAACAGAUAAAAGGCAGAGAGGGUCUUGUCUCCCCCGGCCCGCAAAGGCACAGCCCCUCAUGUCCCUGUCGCGCCCCACCUCCUUCCCCAGCACUCAGGCUAGAUUGCCCUGUUUACUGUGAACUGUGCCAUAACCAUCGCUGUCUAUUCCCUUUCUCUUGUACCACUCCUUGUACCUGUAUGUUAUCUGCUUUGACAGCCAAGAACAGGGUCUCCAAUUUCAUUGGAAAAUUGAAACAAAACAUGUGUUCCUCCUUAAUAGCUAACCAUGGAGAACUUGACUCUGAUAUUCCGGCCGGUUUCUGUAUCAGAAGAUUCUUGGGGUGGCAGGUCCGCCUCUGUUUAGCACAGUGUUAUACCCGGGGCUGAGCUGGUCUUUGGCGGAGAUUCUUAACCACUGCGCCACCGGGGAAGCCCCGGGGAAGCCCUUACCAGCAUCAUCAUCUAAGUAGCGGACAAGGGAAGCCCAGGGAGAAUGUCUAAAGUCACAGACCUCGCCGUGCAGUUGGAGAAAAGAGCACAGGCUCCGGACGUGCAGGCUCAGUGGCCAUGUCUCACGGGCCCAGCUGCUCCACGGCAUGUGGGAUCUUCCCGGACCGGGGCACGAACCCGUGUCCCCUGCAUCGGCAGGCAGACUCUCAACCACUGCGCCACCAGGGAAGCCCAUAAAUGGCCCCGAGGGUGGAGCAUCAAACAACAGAAGAUUAUUCUCAGGUCCUCAAACCUAGUGGAAUUUGCCCUGCUGGGUUUUGGACUUGGGACCCAUGACCCUUUUAUUCCUUCCAAUUUCUCCCUUUUGAAAUGGGAAUGCCUAUCCUAUGCCUGCCCCACCACUGCAUUUUGGAAGCAGAUAACAUGUUUUCUAGUUUAAAAGGUCUACACAUGGAGAGGAAUUUUGCCCCAGGAUGGGUCAUACCCUCAGUAUCACCCAUCUGGGCCAUUUAGGCAAGUAGAUUAUGGGAUGUGGAACUUUUUGAGUUGAUCAUAUUUAGAUGAGAUUUUGGGAUAAUUCUGGAAUGAAAGAUUUUAAGAUGAGGUGAAUGUAUUUUGUAUGCAGGACAGAUGUCAAUUUUUGGAGGGCAGAGGACAAAAUAUACUGAAUUAAAUAGUGUUACCUUGAAAUUCAUGUACACAUGGAAUGUGAACUUAUUUUUAAACAUCUUUGCAGAUGUAAUUAGUUAAGAUGAGCUCAUAUAGGAUGAGAGUAGGUCCUAAAUCCAGUGUUAGGUGUCCAUGUAAGAGGAUCUCGACACAGACACAGACAGAGGGGAGAACGCCUUGUGAAGAGAGGCAGAAAUUGGGGAGAUCUAGCUAUAAGCCAAGGAACGCCAAAGAUUGCCUGCACCACCAUACACUAGGGGAGGUGAGGAAUGAUUCUACCUAAUGUCUUAGAGGAAGCCUGGCCCUGCUGGCACCUUCCUUUCAGACUUCUGGCCUCCAGAACACGGAGGUAAUAAACUUCUGUCAUUUUAAGCCACUCCAUUUGUGGUAAUUUGUUAGGCAGCCUAAAUAAAGGAAUAUAUUUUGUAGUUGAAACAAUGAGAUUGGAUGAAGUUACCAAAGCAGUGAGUGAGGUCAUGAGAAACUAAAAAGGAAAAAAAAAGCCUGAGUUAUCAGCGAGGAAAGGAGAAAAACCAACACAGGUGGGAGGAGAAAGGGGGAAAUAGAGAUCACAAGCAUGGGAAGGGGAAUGGCUUGGGAAAAUGGUAGCAUUAAGGACCCACUGGAAUGUCAUGAAUUUAAAAUAAGACUAAUUAGCAUGACCGUGUCCUGUUCUCCAGCUCUAUUCAGCAACAGGUGCAAAGAGCUGUCAGACAGUUGGACUUAACAGGGAGUGGUUUCCCCAAGAGGGUGAGCUGAGGGGAGACGGACCAGGAAUUGAGACAGGCGGGCUAUGAGUGGCCACAGACUUUAAGUUCAAAAAUCAGUUCUCCUUUCAGUUUGAUCAGCUUUUGCUUCGUGUAUUUUGAGGCUCUGAGUCCGGCAUAUAUAUUUUGGAAUCCUGUGAAUUGACGCUUUAUCGUCACGCAAUGUUCCUCCUCACCUUGUUAACAUUCUUUCCUCUGAAGUCUGCUUAUUUGAUGCUAAUCUAGACACUCCAGUUUCUUUUGAUUAUUGUCUGCAUGCUAUACCUUUUCCUAUUCUUUUAUUUUUUUAAUUGGCCCACUUAAGAAUUAGACAGUUCUUCUUUUAGAAGAAGUUGAGAAUUAGACAAUGAAGUCGUUCUUUUUUAAAAAGUGUGGGUACAUCUGUUUUUUAAGGACUAAUCCCAGAUACUUAAUUCAUUCAAGUAGUUUUCUAUCCUCAGCAAUCAAACUUUUAAAAUAGUUACAGUGUUCAGCGAAAGAGUUGUCAAUGCUGUACGAAGGGUAAACUAUCACUAGUAUUUGUGUCCAUUUUAUAAGAUGCAAUUUGUGAAGAGUUUUAUAAAAGUUCACCUAUGUAUAUACAGGUAAUUUGCCUCAAAGAAUGUCUUAGAAACACAGUAUAGACAUUUAUACUAUAGACAGAGUUCACUGUCUCCACUGGGGCUGUCCACAGAAUCAACAGGUUUUCUUGAAAGCAGGUACAAAGUGACGUCAGCACAAGAUCUGCUGGGAUGACUGCCCCAUAAAAAGGAACAGGCGUGGUUAUCUGUGGCUUUUAGCCUUGAGCCGCAGUUAGGCUGCGGAUCCCCACCCUGGCGAUCUAGAGUCAGCAGGUGGAGAUGGCAACUUCUCCAAACAUCGUAUAGACACUGGUUUCCGGGCUCUGAUGGAGACUUCGGAGGCCAUCAGAAGUCCAUGGGCUCAGAUCCGGGGCAGGAUGAACCUUGACAUCCCACUUUCCCCCAUCAGUGACCGGCCACAGGUCU